rnacentral:lncRNA from 1 species
GAACAAGAGUCUCUCCCUGGCAAUCCAGAAAAUUCUUCUGGAUCUUAUUUAAGACCACCAAGGUGAUACCUCUACAUGUCUGCAUGAACCACAGAAUUAGGGGCUUGGAGUGUUCCCUAAUGAGGUACGGCUUAGACCACAACACUCAAGUCCCUUCGUAUGCCUAGAAAGCCUUUGCAAGAAGGAUGAGUACAAAUAAACCCAGACUGCAAGGACUACAAUGAAUACGUAAUUCGUCAAUGCCCAUAUACCGAUGAACAUCCAGAAGCAUCAAGACCAUUCAGGAAAACAU